UACGGGGGGGGCAAGCGUUGUUCGGAAUUACUGGGCGUAAAGGGCUCGUAGGCGGCCAACUAAGUCAGACGUGAAAUCCCUCGGCUUAACCGGGGAACUGCGUCUGAUACUGGAUGGCUGGAGUUUGGGAGAGGGAUGCGGAAUUCCAGGUGUAGCGGUGAAAUGCGUAGAUAUCUGGAGGAACACCGGUGGCGAAGGCGGCGUUCUGGACUGCAACUGACACUGAAAAACGAAAGCCAGGGGAGCAAACGGG
rnacentral:rRNA from 1 species